CCUCCAGAGGCUGCGAGACACAGCUUCACCGUUUUUUGUAUUCUUUGACUGACGCCUGUCAACCAGUUCCCUCCUGCUACACAGCAUGCACAGUCCUCAUUCAACCCACCUGUUUCACAGCCUCCUGAUUAUCUCUGCAGCAUGCAGAAUGUGUCACUCCAGAACAUGUUUACUCCUGCUACAUAUCUGCAGUGGCCACCACCUCCACUGGCCCGCCUGGCUCCCUGCACCUGCAACCCCUCCUCCAGUGUCUUCACCUCCCGGUCUCCAUUAGAUCUACCCCAUUCUCAGCACUGUUAAAAUAAACUGUUUCCUG